rnacentral:rRNA from 1 species
GAUGAACGCUGGCGGCGUGCCUAAUACAUGCAAGUCGAGCGAACGGACGAGAAGCUUGCUUCUCUGAUGUUAGCGGCGGACGGGUGAGUAACACGUGGAUAACCUACCUAUAAGGCUGGGAUAACUUCGGGAAACCGGAGCUAAUACCGGAUGAUAUUUUGAACCGCAUGGUUCAAAAGUGAAAGACGGUCUUGCUGUCACUUAUAGAUGGAUCCGCGCUGCAUUAGCUAGUUGGUAAGGUAACGGCUUACCAAGGCAACGAUGCAUAGCCGACCUGAGAGGGUGAUCGGCCACACUGGAACUGAGACACGGUCCAGACUCCUACGGGAGGCAGCAGUAGGGAAUCUUCCGCAAUGGGCGAAAGCCUGACGGAGCAACGCCGCGCGAGUGAUGAAGGUCUUCGGAUCGUAAAACUCUGUUAUUAGGGAAGAACAUAUGUGUAAGUAACUGUGCACAUCUUGACGGUACCUAAUCAGAAAGCCACGGCUAACUACGUG